rnacentral:lncRNA from 1 species
GUGAUCAGUGAGUGAUGAAUGGCUCCCAGAUUCAAACUGGACAGAGCAAUUAUGUUCAGAAGACUCAUCCUGCACAUUCAGCGUAUGCCUGCUGGCAUAAUUAGAACAGUAGAGAAAACAGAAAUCAAGGACAGUAAAUGCAGUCUGCAGUCAUCAUAUAAUUUCUACAGCAUGGAUUUCCAAAGUCUCAAAGGGAUGCUUUAAGCAAAAUUCUCACUGAAAGUCACUGGGGGAUAUGUUUCUCCCUUUCUUUUGAAUGUCUGGAAGUCUGUUACAUUUUUCUUGCUGUCUAUCUCAACUAUUAAAGAGUUUUUUUAAGCUGUGGUUGAGACCCUGUGCUCUUGAAAUCAGUAGGAGUUUUGCCACUGCUUUUAUUGGAGCAGAAUGGAGACGUCUUAGAAGGAAUCCUGGACAAGCUGCCUCUCUGAGCCUUUUCUGAGUGCUUCACAUAAGUGUCAGAGGCAACAGAAGAGUUGCAUAUGAAGAAAGGGGAAAAAGCAGGAAUAGAAAGAGCCAGCACAUCAAAACGUCACUGCUUCCUUCAACCACUGCUCCAUGGAUUGGCUUUCUCUUGUUCCUUCCUCUUUCACUGCUGUGCAGGCAAGAGAGGGCUGGAUAUCGGCAAAGACAGACACUCAGCAUUCCUGAAGGAUUAAACAGGAUAGAUUUAAUAAAGGACUCACUUGCACUCCAAGCUGCACAGGGAGCUCUGGGAACCAUGUGGAGAGGUUGUCAAUGGGAGGAUGCUGGACGCAUGGGUCGGAUGCAUGGGUCAGACGCCAAGGAAAGCAGAGAAUUUGUCCAGUAGCAGCAGCACUGGAAGACUUCCAAAUAGGUGCAAUCUGAAGGCAAAAGUCCUGCCUCCUUUUCCCCUUGUUUUUUACCAGGGUAAAGAAAACUAUCCUUUUAGUCAUGCAAGUUCCCUGGUCAUCCUGGGGAAUAGUUGUACAAGAUGGCUCAAGACAGUCCGAUGGUUCUUCAUUUCCAAAAGAAAAAUGGCCUCUGCCCUUCUUCUUUGCUCACUCCUUCCCGCAAAUAGCAUCAAAGACCAUGUAAGAGAAGGACAGGAGUAUGCAGCUGGGCUUGGGGUUUCAGAGAGAGGAAAUAAAAGGUUGUUUUUUUACCUUUCCAAAAAUAGCUAACCUCCUUUUAUUUAUCUUCCUGCAAAAAGCUCUACAAGCAAUAACAUCUGCAGAAAAAUUGACAUACCUGCAACAAUUACUUACUUAUAAAAACAGGCUCUAUUUCAUUAAGAAUUGUGUUUGCGUUAACACGUUGACAUCACUUCUAGGCAGGCAUAUUAUGUAAUCAAUUAAUACACAUCAUUUCUGAGUACUGAC